UAGGGAAUAUUGGACAAUGGGUGCAAGCCUGAUCCAGCCAUGCCGCGUGCAGGAAGAAAGCCUUCUGGGUUGUAAACUGCUUUUCUCUGGGGAUAAAAUAUUCGUGCGCGGAUAAUUGAAGGUACCAGAGGAAUAAGCCACGGCUAACUACGUGCCAGCAGCCGCGGUAAUACGUAGGUGGCAAGCGUUGUCCGGAUUUAUUGGGUUUAAAGGGUGCGUAGGCGGUUUUCUAAGUCAGCAGUGAAAUACGGCAGCUCAACUGUCGAGGUGCUGUUGAUACUGGGGAACUUGAGUACUGAUGAGGUAGGCGGAAUGGACGGUGUAGCGGUGAAAUGCUUAGAGAUCGUCCAGAACACCGAUAGCGAAGGCAGCUUACUAAGGAGUAACUGACGCUGAGGCACGAAAGUGUGGGGAUCAAACAGGAUUAGAUACCCCCGUAGUCC
rnacentral:rRNA from 1 species